CCUACGGGUGGCAGCAGUGAGGAAUAUUGGUCAAUGGACGAGAGUCUGAACCAGCCAAGUAGCGUGAAGGAUGACUGCCCUGAGGGUUGUAAACUUCUUUUAUAAAGGAAUAAAACGAGGCACGUGUGCCUUUUUGCAUGUACUUUAUGAAUAAGGAUCGGCUAACUCCGUGCCAGCAGCCGCGGUAAUACGGAGGAUCCGAGCGUUAUCCGGAUUUAUUGGGUUUAAAGGGAGCGUAGAUGGGUUGUUAAGUCAGUUGUGAAAGUUUGCGGCUCAACCGUAAAAUUGCAAUUGAUACUGGCAGUCGUGAGUACAGUUGAGGUAGGCGGAAUGCGUGGUGUAGCGGUGAAAUGCUUAGAUAUCACGAAGAACCCCGAUUGCGAAGGCAGCUUACUAAACUGUGACUGACAUUGAUGCUCGAAAGUGUGGGUAUCAAACAGGAUUAGAUACCCUAGUAGUC
rnacentral:rRNA from 1 species